rnacentral:rRNA from 1 species
GACGAACGCUGGCGGCGUGCCUAAUACAUGCAAGUAGACCUGAGUUGCGAACGGGUGAGUAACGCGUAGGAACCUGCCUCAUAGAGGGGGAUAACUAUUGGAAACGAUAGCUAAUACCGCAUACUGUGAGAUGGACCGGCGUUGUAUUGGCUAGUUGGUGAGGUAAAGGCUCACCAAGGCGACGAUCCGUAACUGGUCUGAGAGGAUGAUCAGUCACACUGGAACUGAGACACGUUCCAGACUCCUACGUGAGGAAGCAGUGGGGAAUAUUGGACAAUGGGCGAAAGCCUGAUCCAGCCAUGCCGCGUGUGUUAAGAAGGUCUUCGGAUUGUAAAGCACUUUAAGUUGGGAGGCGUUACCAACAGAAGAAGCACCGGCUAACUCCGUGCCAGCAGCCGCGGUAAUAC